GAUGAACGCUGGCGGCGUGCCUAAUACAUGCAAGUCGAGCGAACGGACGAGAAGCUUGCUUCUCUGAUGUUAGCGGCGGACGGGUGAGUAACACGUGGAUAACCUACCUAUAAGACUGGGAUAACUUCGGGAAACCGGAGCUAAUACCGGAUAAUAUUUUGAACCGCAUGGUUCAAAAGUGAAAGACGGUCUUGCUGUCACUUAUAGAUGGAUCCGCGCUGCAUUAGCUAGUUGGUAAGGUAACGGCUUACCAAGGCAACGAUGCAUAGCCGACCUGAGAGGGUGAUCGGCCACCCUGGAACUGAGACACGGUCCAGACUCCUACGGGAGGCAGCAGUAGGGAAUCUUCCGCAAUGGGCGAAAGCCUGACGGAGCAACGCCGCGUGAAUGAUGAAGGUCUUCGGAUCGUAAAACUCUGUUAUUAGGGAAGAACAUAUGUGUAAGUAACUGUGCACAUCUUGACGGUACCUAAUCAGAAAGCCACGGCUAACUACGUG
rnacentral:rRNA from 1 species